rnacentral:rRNA from 1 species
GUGUCCAAUAAUGGGGGAUAACGAGUCGAAAGAUUCGCUAAUACCGCAUACGCCCUACGGGGGAAAGCAGGGGAUCGUAAGACCUNGCGUUAAUGGAGCGGCCGAUAUCUGAUUAGCUUGUUGGUGAGGUAAAGGCUCACCAAGGCGACGAUCAGUAGCUGGUUUGAGAGAACGACCAGCCACACUGGAACUGAGACACGGUCCAGACUCCUACGGGAGGCAGCAGUGGGGAAUUUUGGACAAUGGGGGAAACCCUGAUCCAGCAAUGCCGCGUGUGUGAAGAAGGCCUUCGGGUUGUAAAGCACUUUUGUCAGGAACGAAACGGUGGGGGCUAAUACCUCCUGCUAAUGACGGUACCUGAAGAAUAAGCACCGGCUAACUACGUGCCAGCAGCCGCGGUAAUACGUAGGGUGCGAGCGUUAAUCGGAAUUACUGGGCGUAAAGCGUGCGCAGGCGGUUGUGCAAGACAGAUGUGAAAUCCCCGGGCUCAACCUGGGAAUGGCAUUUGUGACUGCACGGCUAGAGUGUGUCAGANGGGGGUAGAAUUCCACGUGUAGCAGUGAAAUGCGUAGAUAUGUGGAGGAAUACCGAUGGCGAANGCAGCCCCCUGGGAUAACACUGACGCUCAUGCACGAAAGCGUGGGGAGCAAACAGGAUUANAUACCCU